rfam:Schistosoma curassoni strain Dakar, Senegal genome assembly, scaffold: SCTD_scaffold0006279
AUCCAGCUGACGUGUCCCAAACAGGACGAAACGCACGUCAAACUGGUU